rnacentral:rRNA from 1 species
GACGAGCGCUGGCGGCGUGCCUAAUACAUGCAAGUAGAACGCACAGUUUAUACCGUAGCUUGCUACACCAUAGACUGUGAGUUGCGAACGGGUGAGUAACGCGUAGGUAACCUGCCUGGUAGCGGGGGAUAACUAUUGGAAACGAUAGCUAAUACCGCAUAAUAUUGAUUAUUGCAUGAUAAUUAAUUGAAAGGUGCAAUUGCACCACUACCAGAUGGACCUGCGUUGUAUUAGCUAGUAGGUGAGGUAACGGCUCACCUAGGCGACGAUACAUAGCCGACCUGAGAGGGUGAUCGGCCACACUGGGACUGAGACACGGCCCAGACUCCUACGGGAGGCAGCAGUAGGGAAUCUUCGGCAAUGGACGAAAGUCUGACCGAGCAACGCCGCGUGAGUGAAGAAGGUUUUCGGAUCGUAAAGCUCUGUUGUAAGAGAAGAACGGGUGUGAGAGUGGAAAGUUCACACUGUGACGGUAUCUUACCAGAAAGGGACGGCUAACUACGUG